rnacentral:rRNA from 1 species
UACGUAGGGUGCAAGCGUUGUCCGGAAUUAUGGGGCGUAAAGAGCUCGUAGGCGGUCUGUCGCGUCGGAUGUGAAAAUCCAGGGCUCAACCCUGGACCUGCAUUCGAUACGGGCAGACUAGAGUUCGGUAGGGGAGACUGGAAUUCCUGGUGUAGCGGUGAAAUGCGCAGAUAUCAGGAGGAACACCGGUGGCGAAGGCGGGUCUCUGGGCCGAAACUGACGCUGAGGAGCGAAAGCGUGGGGAGCAAACAGG